AUGCUCACUUCAACAACACAUAGACUGAAAUAGGAACCAUACAGCAAGGAGUAGCAUGGCAUCCACGCAGAGAGGGCAUGCAAAAUCGUGAAGUGUUCCAUUAUUUA
ensembl:snRNA U6 U6 spliceosomal RNA